AGUGAUUGUGAGUUCCAUGAGGGUGCAAUUACUUGAAGAAAGCUUCACAAGUUGAGUUGAAAGUGUUUCCAGUGAGAUACCACUCUUUUGUUCAUAACAGGGCAUUCUGAGAUUCUGCUAGUGCAAACUUCGUUUGGUGAUUUUAAGCUUUUAGAGACUCCUUUUUUCAAUAUUUUUUGAUACACUCCUCCUUAGACAUGGCUUCUAGUGAGGGUGAAGGUUUGAGAGUGAUUGAGAAGUUUAGAGGGAACAAUUUCUACCAUUGGAAGGUCAAAAUGGAGCUUUUG
rnacentral:lncRNA from 1 species